rnacentral:rRNA from 1 species
UCCCUACGGGGUGCAGCAGGCGCGAAAACUGUGCAAUGCGCGAAAGCGCGACACAGGAAACCUGAGUGCCUUGACAAUGUCAAGGCUUUUCUUAAGCUAAAAAGCUCAAGGAAUAAGAGCUGGGUAAGACGGGUGCCAGCCGCCGCGGUAACACCCGCAGCUCGAGUGGUGGUCAUUAUUAUUGAGCCUAAAGCGUUCGUAGCCGGUUUCGUAAAUCUUCAGAUAAAUUCUCCCGCUCAACGGAAGAUCUUCUGAAGAGACUGCGAAACUAGGGACUGGGUGAGGUUGAAUGUACUUUUGGGGUAGGGGUAAAAUCCUGUAAUCCUGGAAGGACAACCAGUGGCGAAGGCGUUCAACUAGAACAGAUCCGACGGUGAGGAACGAAGGCUAGGGGAGCAAACCGGAUUAGAUACCCGGGUAGUCCUAGCUGUAAACACUGCCCACUUGGUGUUGCCUCUCCGUUGAGGGGGUGCAGUGCCGGAGCGAAGGUGUUAAGUGUGCCGCUUGGGGAGUAUGGUCGCAAGGCUGA